UACGUAGGGGGCACGCGUUGUCCGGAAUCAUUGGGCGUAAAGAGCGUGUAGGCGGCUCGAUAAGUCUGCUGUGAAAGUCCAGGGCUCAACCCUGGAAGGCCGGUGGAAACUGUCGGGCUAGAGUCCGGAAGAGGCGAGUGGAAUUCCCGGUGUAGCGGUGAAAUGCGCAGAUAUCAGGAAGAACACCUAUGGCGAAAGCAGCUCUCUGGGACGGUACUGACGCUGAGACGCGAAAGCGUGGGGAGCGAACAGG
rnacentral:rRNA from 1 species